AUUGUGAUGCAAUAAUUAUGGUGGAAUCAGGUCAGGAUUGGAAGAUAGCAGCCUUAACAUUUAAUAAUUAUGUGCAUCAUUUUUUA
rnacentral:SRP_RNA from 1 species